CCUGAACACAGUGGUGCAUGUCUGUAGUCCCAGCUACUUGGGAGGCUGAGGUGGGAGGAUUGCUUGAGCCCAGGAGUUUUGGGCUGUAGUGUGCUAUUUCAAUUCCGUGUUGCACUAAGUUCGGCAUUAACAUGGUGACCUCCCGGGAGCGGGGGACCACAGAUUGCCUAAGGAGGGGUGAACUGGCCCAGGCUGGAAAUGGAGCAGGUCAAAACUCCUGUGCUGAUGACUGGUGGGGUCUCACCUGUGAAUAGCCACUGCAUUCCAGCCUGGGCUAUGUAGUGAGACCCUGUCUCA
rnacentral:SRP_RNA from 1 species